UUGAGCCAACUCGUGAGCCGCUCCUCGCGAGCCAAACGAGCUAUGAUUCUAAAAAAACAUCAUAACUUAUAUUAGUUUUGUAUUAUUUUGUGUUUUUUAUUUUACAAAUGAUUGAUAUGUUAACACAUAUAAAGAUUUUUGUUCGAUUUAAGGCUAUUAGAUGUAUUACUUUUAUAUUAUUACUAUUACCGAGCUUUAGAUAAAUACAAAUAUUAUAUUUUGUGUAUUUUUUAUAUUAAACCCGUGAGCUUUAAAGCUAGCUCGAACUUGUAAACGAGCCGAGCCAGAUUAACUCAUUAUCUUAAUGAGCCGAAUCGAGCAGGCUCGUUGUCUGCUUAGAUGGAGGCUUAGAGUAUAUGGGAUCCACUAAAGUCUGUCGCUACUGGUGUGAUAAACGACUUUAUCCUGUUUCUCUAUUCCUCUAACCAAACACUAAGCUGAGAUGAUACAAUAAAAAAACAAAGACGUGACCAUUUCAUCUUACAUCUCCAAAUCAAAUAUAUUUACUGAUCAUUAUCUAAAAAACUGUCACUGACUAAUAUGUUCAUGUGAUUACAGCGGGGUGAUCUUAUUUCACUAACCUUUAGCAAGUUUUUUUUUGGGAAAACAACAAGGGAAUUACCAUACAUAAACACCCAGAUAAAAGGAAAAACAGAAACGGAAAAGAAAAAGAAAAAGAAAACGCGCUAGGACCUAGGAACGCUCAGGAGCAGGAGCUACUUGCCGCACCGUGGGCGCGCCACUCCAGUAAUUACAGCAAGCUCGUUGGCGCCUAGGCUUAUCGCGAAAAACGUUGCAAUUCCAGAGCCAAAUAAUCACCGCUAUCUUGCCUCGUUCAAUUGCACGUGCGCUCCAGUGCCGCGC
rnacentral:lncRNA from 1 species